rnacentral:lncRNA from 1 species
CAGGGAGGCUGCGCUCUUCCCAUCAGGUGUUUCCCCGGUGUGGAAUAAAUCAGGAGCAAAUACCAAAGCUGACAGCAACUGCUGGAGGUAAGAGAUGCCGGGCAGGACCCGGCCCUCCUCUGCAGGACCUGGAAAGCAGGGACAGGGGUAACAUCUACGAAAGCAGGGAGGAGGGGAUUUCCUAGAAACUCAGCUUGGUGCACUUUCAGUCCUGGGCUGCUUGCUGGCAACACUUGCGACUAACUCCAGGUAGGAAUACAUUUCUAUAUUUUAUUA